rnacentral:lncRNA from 1 species
AUGCUAAUUGGUAUAUUGUACACUAUUGACAAGAUUUGGCAAGGAUGUAAGGUGGUGGAUGUUCCAGCCUACCUACAGAGGAGGAGGUGGUGUGUACUGCAGAGACAGAUGUGCCUGAUAAAGCUCAGGGCCUGUCUGACUGAUGUCUCCCUGUACCAUCAACGCCGACUCCAGUCAAGCUACUCCUUUACUGAACUGCAUCAUCAUCAUCAUCUAGCUGUGGAAGACCGUCUCCCAUGAACUGCCAGCUCCCUGAAUUUGUUUUAGUUUUUAAAAGAGACUGAGAUUAUGUAUGAAAAGCGCUAUAUAAAAUAAAUGAAUACAUGUAUUGUUAUUAUUAGUAGUAUUACUACUUAUCACCAUACACUAAUCAUUUUCUGCUGGUGUAUCCUGAGGUAGCUUCUCUCUGUGUUGUUUCAACAAAGAGAGGAGCUCCCCGUCCCCACGUACCAAAUCUACGCCUCGCCCUGGUCUCAGCCAGUCUGUUGUUAUGGAUAUGUUGUUUUGUGUUUCUGGUUGUGGUUAACAGUGUUGUUCCCCAGCCCAGACUUCAGGAUACUGUCCCAUCCACUGACCUCCACUAUGUCACCUCUGGUCCAGCCCUGCUCAGUGAUGUCAUCCCCUGAGUCAAUUAUCUGGUCAAGUUCAUACAUUAUGUGUGUUUUUGUAUGUAAACACAAGUUCAUUUCUCUCUUACCUUGAUUUUUUUGUUGUUGUCAAGUUCAUACAUUAUAAUGUGUGGUUUUGUAUGUAAACAUACAUUGUGUUGAUUUCAUUUUAUGGAGGAAGGAAAAAAAAUUGCCAGGCGCAUCACUAUUCCCAUUGAAGAUCUAUUACUGUAUGUAGGUUAUAUGUAUUACUAUUCCCAUUGAAGAUCUAUUACUGUAUGUAGGCUAUAUGUAUUUCUCCCUUACCUUGAUCCCCAUCUUUAGUCCACUCAGCAGAUCAAUGCUCUCUGGUCCGUCUCCUCUUUGACCAGCAGCAGAUCAGGCUUCCCAUCCUCCAUGUCUACUGACUGUAAGAGAUACAGAGUGAGAGGAUGUUGGAUCAAGAUAUCUGAUAUGAGCACCCUGCUAUG